GCCGGGGUGGCGGAACUGGUAGACGCUGAGGACUUAAAAUCCUUUGACCUAACGGUCGUAGGGGUUCGAUUCCCCUCCCCGGCACCA
rnacentral:tRNA from 1 species